rnacentral:rRNA from 1 species
CAGUGGGGAAUAUUGCACAAUGGGGGAAACCCUGAUGCAGCCAUGCCGCGUGUGUGAAGAAGGCCUUCGGGUUGUAAAGCACUUUCAGUAGGGAGGAAGGUAGUGUAGUUAACACCUGCAUUAUUUGACGUUACCUACAGAAGAAGCACCGGCUAACUCCGUGCCAGCAGCCGCGGUAAUACGGAGGGUGCGAGCGUUAAUCGGAAUUACUGGGCGUAAAGCGCAUGCAGGCGGCCUGUUAAGUCAGAUGUGAAAGCCCGGGGCUUAACCUCGGAAUUGCAUUUGAAACUGGCAGGCUAGAGUCUUGUAGAGGGGGUAGAAUUUCAGGUGUAGCGGUGAAAUGCGUAGAGAUCUGAAGGAAUACCAGUGGCGAAGGCGGCCCCCUGGACAAAGACUGACGCUCAGAUGCGAAAGCGUGGGGAGCAAACAGGAUUAGAUACCCUGGUAG